rnacentral:tRNA from 1 species
CCCCUUGUGGUGUAGUUGGCUAUCACGUUCGGCUGUAAAUGUCAUUUGUUACCGAAAGGUCACCGGCUCGAUUCCGGUCGAGGGGA